AGACCCCCAAAAGAGGCUGCAGAUUCUUGGUGGACAGCUCUCAUAUCCCCUCCAGGGAAAAUGAUGAAAAAUGUCUUCAGAAAAAUAGCUUUAUGAAGGCAAGAGGACUUUUUGCACCUGCAAGACAUGUCUGAAAGCUCCACAGGUCAAAACACAAGUAGUCAAGAGAUUUGUCCAUCUAAUUCAUCAUACUACUCUGAUCCAAGUGAGACCCACACUGGGUCAGCUCCAUCAAGGAGAAGAACAUUCCACCCACGUUUGGAUUCUGGAAUAUCAUCCUUGCUUCCAUCAGAUUCUUGUAAGUACCUCACUUGGCACAAGAUAGAACAACAUGGCGUUCAAGAAAGUCAACUGCGUUGCCCAAGAGUAAGAGAAGGACCCUCUGAAGAAGAGCAACUUUUCAGACAGGUAGAGUGUGCCUUGCUCCCAAGGAAAAGAGUUCUUGAAAAAAACAAAUGGGAAACAUGGCUACAAGAAAACUGGGAAGACUGCAAGAAUUUGAACAUUUCAUUUCAGGAUUUGGGGGAUCCUUACCAGGUUGAAAAUUUUAACAGAAUUCUUAGAAGACUAAUUCGAGUUGAAACCCCCUGGUUAGUGGAUAAUUCACUGGUGGACUUAAGUGCCAUAAGAUUGCCAAGGCAAAAACAUGCUAACUGACAAGAAAAUCAUGGGUUUUAAACAAGGAUAACAAGUGCUGGGUUGCUUAGCUAUGAGGAAGGCUAGGCUCACUGCAUACCAGAAGAUGUACAGCGUUGGAGAAUGCAGGGAUUUUUAUCAACUAUCAAACUAUAUUUGUGGAAAUUUUGUGCAUAAGUGCCAAAGAUGGCUGACAUCGGACCACAUUCUAUUUAACUCAACUGAAUGACACCAAGCUCUCAUCCUAAAACUUAUAGUUACAUCCACCCUUCUGAAAUAUUUAAUUAUUCUCCAAUACACUGGAGGUAAUAGGUAUAAAAAGAAUGCGCAUGUGCAACUUAGCAUCUCAUAUCUAAUUUUGUGUCCCAAGUUCAUUAUUCCCCUGAAUGUCCCAUGUCUACCAGGUGCAGGAUUAUCUGGAUGGGUCAGUUCAAAACAAUUUCAGGGAAUAAAUUGUGUAGGGGACUCAAUUUUCUGAGACAGAAACAUAAUGUGAAUAACUCCUUUGUUAGAAAAUAAUUUCAGUGACAGAAAGCCUUUCAGUUCAUAAAGAAAACUUACAUAUCAACAAGCCUAGCUCCUCACUAGUCCCAGUGAAUGCUUACAUCAAUCAGCUCUACAAUAUCCAGUAAAGGACUUUCCAAUUCGCCUUCGAAUAAACUGAGGUAUUGGAAACAUCUAAGAAAAUGGUUUUUAAUUCUUCCUAAUCUGCAGGGAGUUCUUCCUUAUAUUGAGCUGAUAUCUGCCUUCUGUAACUUUCAACUAAUUAUUCAAAUCUCUCAAGUGAUUAUAAUUAAUUCCAUCUUAUAAGGAAUUUUUCUCAGCUUCCAGCCUCUUGAAAAUACUCUGAUAUUUUCUCUAAUAUUCAAGUGGAAAUGUAAAUGGGUAACGUAAGAGUCUGUGGGGUUAGGAGGGUGGAGGAAAGGUAAGAGAAAGCUAAUGAGAAAUAACCAAAGCAAGAAAAAGAAUUUUAUUUUCUUCAAGUUCUUUGUACAUCCAAAGUGGAAGAUUCCUAAAAUAAAUUCCCCAUACCACAUUUUAAAAAUUAGGUUAGCAAGCUUACUUUUUAAUUUAUUUAGAAGCCAACUACUUCUAUUUAUUAUUUCUUUCCAGAAUAGAACAAUUAUCACUAAUUGUUUGUCAUUAUAAUGCCAAACUAUGUUAAUAGAUGCCUAUUUUUUUAAAGGCUAAUUGCAAUCAUGAAACCAAAUAUCUAAUUAGUUUUAGAGCUUUGGACCACAUGCAUCAAUAUUUGAAUCAUUCAGGUGUAUAUUUGCUUUCUGCUUUUUUGUCUCUUCAAAAGAAGUAUUAUAUGCGUUCUGUUUAUAAUUUCUAAAUGGUCAUUUCAAAACUGAUUAUACGAGUUUAUACAAAUCAUACUGAAAUUUGUUGCUUAAAAAAUCUUCGUUUUUCUCUAAGCUCUCAGUGUCCUUGAGCUAUAUAUAUUUUAUGGCAAUUUUUACUUAAUAGUUUGUAUGCUAGUUAUUUUUGACAAUGACUACUAAAAUGCAAGUUUCUUCAAGGGCAGAUUCACCUUAGUUCUUCUUUAUACCCCUCAAAAACCUCAGGGUUAUUCUCAAUAAGUAUUGAGUAGGUGAGUGAACUUUGGAUGUAUACUCCUUGAAAUUAUAUUUCUGGAGCUGGAAAACUUUAAAAAAAUGUAUGUCAUGAGUCUAAAGAAAUAAACAUUAUAUGGCUGAAAAAAUACUUUGUGAAAA
rnacentral:sRNA from 1 species